AUUUCGUAAAUCGACACAAAAUCGUCUCUUCCGCGCGCCCCGCCCCAUUGGGUCCCGGAUGUCUGGCACUCUCUAACUAUCUACACUCUCUGUAACGAUGAAAAACACUCUGAAAUUGCCGCUCCUCAUCGGUGUGGCUGGAGGAACAUCUUGUGGAAAGUCAACAAUUGUGGAGAGAAUAAUCGAGAAUCUCAAUGCAAACGCGAAGCAAAGUGGAAGACAAAUCGACAUUGUCCACUUGUCACUUCACUCAUUCUACAGAGAACUGUCAGCAGAAGAGAAGAUUCUUGCGAGAGAAGGAAAAUUCAAUUUCGAUCAUCCUGAUCAGAUCAACUUUGAUCUUCUCGCCGAGACUCUUCAAAAUAUGAUUGAUGGAAAAACUGUGGAAAUUCCAAAGUACGAUAUGAUCACAAGCUCUAUGAACGGAACAGUGACUGUGGAGCCAGCAAAAGUGAUCAUAAUCGAAGGAAUACUUCUUCUUUACGAUGAACGUGUUCGUAAGCUGCUCUCCACUAAGCUUUUCGUUGAGAAAAACGCUGAAAGCCGUCUCAGAAACCGGCUGGCCACUUAUAUUCGUGACUAUCAUCGUGCUCCGCUCUCGAUCAUCCGGCAAUACACGGAGUUCGUGAAGCCUGCUUUCGAAGAAUUCUGCCGACCAACCAAGAAGUACGCUGACGUCAUUAUUCCACGUGGAGCCGACAAUCACGUGGCAACUGAUCUCAUUGCAAAGAAUCUUCAGGAGACAUUUCGUAAAAUAGUAGUGAGCAGCGACGAAGAAGAAGAAAAAGAAAAUGAACUGGUAAAACAAGGAAGCUUCCGUCGUCCAUUCUCCCGUCCACAUUAAAUCUUUUCAUUUUAGAUUCCACUUUUUUAAAAACUUUUUGUAAGUAAUUGUUUUGAGCAUUAUGCUUAAAUUCAAUGUGCAUAAAUUUCAAAACAAUUGCCCUCGUUCUCUAUGACAUCAUUCUUCUUCACUUUGAAAUUUCUUAUGUAAUUGUUGACACAGUUUUCUCUCCACAGAUCCCAUCCUACAGUAUUCAUCCGGCCAAUUUUGUUAGCUAUAUUUCAUUAAUCAGUUCCUUGUUUAGAUCUAAUAUAUUCCUUAUUCACUUGGUUCCUAGUUCUACUGUUUCCCUUGUUGAUUCGUCUCGUUUUGAUUUCCCAUGACUCUACCGCUUUACUCGAUUCCCUUCCCCCCAGUGUGUAGGCAUAAUAAAAGAGCGAGAGUUUAUUAUUA